CGCGAGACGCGAGGGCCUUGGAAGCGUUUCUAGGCAAAAUAGAAUAGGAAAAUAUGUUUAUAUGUCAUCUAGACACAAAUACAUAUUAAUAAAUGACAUAUUGAUGUUUGAAAGUCUAGGUUUUGAUAUAACAUUGUUACAGUGUGGGUUGCAAACGCUGAUCUCACAACCAAAGAUAAACUAAUGUUAACGUUACACGAAAUGAACGUAACUUUCUAGCAGUGGUGAAAGAAGUAUUCCGAUCCUGCAAUAUUACUGAAGUAAAGGUGCUGAUUCUAUACUGUGAUAAUUCUCCAAAAAGUAUUAAAAACAUUACUUGAAUAAAAGUUUGCAAGUAUCAUCAGCUAAUGUUGAAUAGGCAGCUAAAUGUAUUGCUUGUACAUUUAAAUGUUCCCAGUUAGUGUUAUCUUAUUCUAAUAUUUCGAGAUGAAUAUUCCUGCUGCAUUCAUGUGUAUUUUGCAUCUAUAAAAUUAGAUGUUUAAGGUUGUGCUUAUGUUAACUUCUGUACAUACUGUUGGAUAGUUUUGUGUACAGCAAAUAUCAUAUUCUAUAAGAUCAGCAUAUAUUAUAUGAACAAGCCAAAUUGGAAUUAACAGCUGCUGGACUUGGAGUGAAACUGAUCGCAUUUCAAGGUAGUACUAUGAUUAACUGAUGUGGGGUUUAUCGGGGAGUUAAAGGGUAACUAUUUUUUUCCAACCUAUACCCUAUGUUCCUAUGUGUUUGUGUCUAAGUGACUAAUGGGAACAACAAUCUUUGACAUUGGUCCAGUUGUAUUUACCUUCACGAAAGUGCUUGUAUUCCCAUUGACAUGCUCAGAUUAGUAUUUUAAGUCUCUGACAACAUUAUGAAAAGGAUUCUUAAGGAGGUUGACAUUUCUGUUAAAGAGUAGGAUCCUUUUUUUGUCAGACAUUUACAAUAUCAAUCUGUCAGCGGCAAAACAAGCACUUUUGUGAAGGUAAAUACAAGGAUGGACAAUUGUCCUAUUAAAUGUAGCUUAAGCGCACGUUCAGUCAGGAAGACAACCAGUCUGACUCUGUUCACCUCCUUUGUAAUGACUCUAGCAGCUGAUUGGGGGUGUGCACAUUUUAGUAACCAAUCUGGCUGUCAGCUGUAAUUUCAGCGUGUAGCUGAAGCGACCCACCUCCACCCCAGUCACCUCCAGUUGGCAUCAGCGUUGUUCUUGGUUCGUCAUUAGGUUGCUGCUCUUCCUUACACCACCUCCAUCAGUGUCUGGACUCCAGGGGGAUUGGGCUAAUUGGACCUCACUAUCCCUGCCUUCGGAGAUAGUACGUCAUGAUGGAGUCCAAUCGCCAAAGACCUUGCACAAUUCUAUCGGCAGAGACCCUGCCAUCUGCCUGGAUUUAUUUCAUCUCAUACUAUCCACAGGUUUAAUUGACAUACACAGAAAUGUCUAACAAGGCGUCCAUUAUCAGAUGCUAUUGGGUGAAUAGGGACUUAAAUUGAUGCCAAAGUCAUAUUCAAAUGUCCUUAUAAACAUCCAUGUUGCUUUAAGAUGAUUUGUGUUAAUAUCUGUAAACUCUUCUGUUUGCCCAGUGUUGCUGAAGCUUCUUCUGUUGACACUCAGAGUGAGCAAGCAGUAAAUACUUCAAGCAGGACAGAGGAGCCAUCUUGUAGCAUCAGUGAAACUAGCACAGAGAAGCAGUCCUGGUCCUGUAGCUUCAGUGAAGCCGUGAAAGUGCCGUUAGAUUUAGGUGAAGGAAAUUCACUGCUAGGGAGAAUGCGAAAGUUAUUAACUUCUCUGCCGUUCAGCAUUUUAAUCCAAUUUGUGUUAUAAUUGUAUCUUUACUGUUGAUUGGAAGUCUGAACCAGACGCAGAGAAAGCUGCAAAGCUAUACUAUACUAAGUCAAAAUUACUUUCUGAAAUGAAUGAAAGAAUGGACCUGCGGGACUCCGCAGAAGACCAGGAAAGAUCUUUAAUUUCGACCUACAAGGCUCCGAAGACAGAGUGGGCUAGCCCUCUCAAUUGUAAAUUGGAAGGUACUGCUGUGUCAAUGUUGGAAAAUAUAAAAAAUUGUUUUCCAUAUAAUUUACUCAAAACCUGUAACAUCUUUCCAAGGGGGAUGCAGCUGUCGGAGAGAGAUUUAACAGGUUCUUCCUCUCAAAGGUGAUGACCCUUCUCCAGUUUGGAUUGCACAUAAAUUUAGGUAUGUUGGUUUGUGUUGAGGAAUGGUGACUUUCAUAAAGUUAUUGCUCAGCACUUCUACAAAUGUAGAAAUCCUACUGCAUUUUGUACCGGGAACACGAGCCUCACACGGAUGUUUGAUGGAGAACCAGAUCACGCAACUCCAUCAACAGCUCCAUUCAUUCUGGAUAGUCACAUGUUCCUGGUGGCAGGUAAGAUAUGUGCCUACUGUGAGGUCUGAACUGAAAAAAACUUUCAGAUGUUUUCUCAAACCAUUAAUGUCAUGACCCUGUUUAUCUGGCCUUAGUCCUGCAAUAGUCCAUGUGUUGUGUGGGGGAUCACCAGAAACUACAACAAUCCAAAUUGCGGAUUGCCCCGAUAUUGAAAUCCGCACUACUAUCCAGUCGCUGGAGGGCAGUGCUGAGUUGACAAAGAGGAAGAGAACGGGGUCUUUGACCUUGCCCUGUCCUGGGACCUACCGGGUGUUACCAAAACAAACCGGAAGUGGCUGCAUGGGCGGCUUCUAUUCCAUGCUGUGAUUUCACGAUCAAGCCGUCAAGUAAAGCAGCUAAGAAAAGGACUAAAGGAGACCAUGGUUUGGCCCCUUCUCAAAGAUAGCGGACAUCAUUCCCACAUUUUUCCCAAGGAAUUCAGAGGCUGCUCUCAGU